rnacentral:rRNA from 1 species
CCUACGGGUGACAGCAGUGGGGAAUAUUGGACAAUGGGGGGAACCCUGAUCCAGCGACGCCGCGUGAGUGAAGAAGUAUUUCGGUAUGUAAAGCUCUAUCAGCCGGGAAGACAAUGACGGUACCUGACUAAGAAGCCCCGGCUAACUACGUGCCAGCAGCCGCGGUAAUACGUAGGGGGCAAGCGUUAUCCGGAUUUACUGGGUGUAAAGGGAGCGUAGACGGUGCAGCAAGUCUGAUGUGAAAGGGCAGGGCCCAACCCCGGGACUGCAUUGGAAACUGUUGAACUGGAGUGCAGGAGAGGUAAGCGGAAUGUCUAGUGUAGCGAUGAAAUGCGUAGAUAUUAGGAGGAACACCAGUGGCGAAGGCGGCUUACUGGACUGUAACUGACGUUGAGGCUCGAAAGCGUGGGGAGCAAACAGGAUUAGAUACCCUUGUAGUC